rnacentral:lncRNA from 1 species
CGAUAGGGCUUUUUCCAAAUCAAAGAAGAAAAUUACGAUCGCAAGUUUGAAGUCGUCAUGAUAUUAAUUGUCAUUGAAGAAUUCAAAUAGAAAUCUACGAAGUGACAAGAAAGAGAAAAAUAGAAAGCUAAGAAACAGACAACGAAAAGUAGGUUAAGAGUGUUGACCAUAGGGACUGUGGAUUCACCAACAAGUGGGACAAACUUUCUCUUGCCUCCAAAACUGACACAACAGUAUCUUAACUCGUUCUCUCAUCACGAAUCACAUUCAUAUGACACUCACUCA